rnacentral:rRNA from 1 species
CAGCAGUGGGGAAUAUUGCACAAUGGGGGAAACCCUGAUGCAGCCAUGCCGCGUGUGUGAAGAAGGCCUUCGGGUUGUAAAGCACUUUCAGUAGGGAGGAAGGUAGUGUAGUUAACACCUGCACUAUUUGACGUUACCUACAGAAGAAGCACCGGCUAACUCCGUGCCAGCAGCCGCGGUAAUACGGAGGGUGCGAGCGUUAAUCGGAAUUACUGGGCGUAAAGCGCAUGCAGGCGGCCUGUUAAGUCAGAUGUGAAAGACCCGGGGCUUAACCUCGGAAUUGCAUUUGAAACUGGCAGGCUAGAGUCUUGUAGAGGGGGGUAGGAAUUUCAGGUGUAGCGGUGAAAUGCGUAGAGAUCUGAAGGAAUACCAGUGGCGAAGGCGGCCCCCUGGACAAAGACUGACGCUCAGAUGCGAAAGCGUGGGGAGCAAACAGGAUUAGAUACCCUGGUAG